UACGGAGGGAGCUAGCGUUGUUCGGAAUUACUGGGCGUAAAGCGCACGUAGGCGGCUUUUUAAGUCAGGGGUGAAAUCCCGGGGCUCAACCCCGGAACUGCCCUUGAAACUGGAGAGCUUGAAUCUUGGAGAGGCGAGUGGAAUUCCGAGUGUAGAGGUGAAAUUCGUAGGUAUUCGGAAGAACACCAGUGGCGAAGGCGACUCGCUGGACAAGUAUUGACGCUGAGGUGCGAAAGCGUGGGGAGCAAACAGG
rnacentral:rRNA from 1 species